AAAUUAGAUCUAACGGAUCAAUAUCUUCUCGGUUUCUUCCCUUUUUCUCUUCCUUCUCUGCAAGACUGCAACAUUAAUUUUUUUUUCUCAAAGAUCUUUAUCUUCUCUCUUUGUCACCCGUCUUAGCUUCCUCAGCAAUGUAGUUUACUUCUAGUCCUAAUCAAUUCAAAAUUUGUUUAUAAUAACUCAAUCUUUUUUGUUUUGGACAGAUCUGUUUAACUAGCGGAGGGAGAACGAUGACGUUAUACAUUAAUCCCACCGUCACAACGGCAGCUCAAUCUCACCGUCGGACGAGACUUGUUACCCCCUCCUGGUUUUCUGUCAAGGCGUCUUGCUGACCCACUGCUGCAUCUUGGACCUGUCUCGAUGCCAUCUCAGAGCAAGCUCUAGGACUCCGCCGCUGCAUUUCCGGAGCUCUACAAUUCCGCCGCUGCAUUUCCGGUCAAACUCUACAACUCUGCCGAUGCGUUUCUUGUCCAGAUCUUUGACUCCGCCACUGCAUCUCCGGUUAUUAUCCAGACAAGCACAAACAUUUGAAGAAAUGCAAGAACAACUACAAGCUCAUCAACACAAGAUUGAAGAACAAGAGACGACUAGAUGCUGAUUAGUGAUUACCAUCAAUUCUAUUAGUUGUAUAGAUUUUAAGCUUUUUAAUAUCUAAAGCAGAUUUUAACGAUUAAUGUUUAUAUAUUUUUGAAGUUUUAAUUAUACAUUGUCAUAAAUCAAUUCAAAAAUUAUUAUUUUAAUUUUUAUAUAAAAUUUAAUAAUUAUAUAUAUACUGUAGUCUUUCAUUAGUUACAGAUAAUUGUGACUACGGGUAAACAGUGUAGUUGUAUCCUAGUGGCAAAAGUUUUGCAACUACACUGUCACUCUGUUUGCUUGCGACUCCAUUGCCACUUAACAUGUGAGGGCUGUACAAAUUUCUCGACUAUAUUUUACGUCACAAAGUAGUUACAAAUCUGUGACUAAUAAAAGAGUUGCAAAUUAGUUGCUCUUUUCUAACAGUUUUGCAACCAAAACAAUUUGCGACGAGCUAUUUUCAACUAUAAGUCCUAGUAGCAAAAUCGUCUUAAAAACCUUAUUUGUGACUACAUUGCAACUAUUUGUACAGUUACAAAAAAUGUGUUUUC
rnacentral:lncRNA from 1 species